rnacentral:rRNA from 1 species
UUUUUCCUACGGGGCGCAGCAGUGAGGAAUAUUGGUCAAUGGGCGGGAGCCUGAACCAGCCACGUCGCGUGAGGGAUGACGGCCCUAUGGGUUGUAAACCUCUUUUGCCGGGGAGCAAAGUGCCGCACGUGUGCGGUUUGGAGAGUACCCGGAGAAAAAGCAUCGGCUAACUCCGUGCCAGCAGCCGCGGUAAUACGGAGGAUGCGAGCGUUAUCCGGAUUUAUUGGGUUUAAAGGGUGCGCAGGCGGUCUGUUAAGUCAGCGGUCAAAGCCCGGGGCUCAACCCCGGCCCGCCGUUGAAACUGG